rnacentral:tRNA from 1 species
GGGGCGGUAGCUCAAUUGGGAGAGCACGACGUUUGCAACGUCGGGGUUGCCGGUUCGAGCCCGGUCCGCUCCA